UACGUAGGAAGCAAGCGUUGUCCGGAAUCACUGGGCGUAAAGCGCGUGUAGGCGGUAUGGCAAGUCUGCUGUGAAAGCGCUCGGCUUGACCGGGCGAGGUCGGUGGAAACUGCCACACUGGAGGACGGUAGAGGGGGGUGGAAUUCCCGGUGUAGUGGUGAAAUGCGUAGAGAUCGGGAGGAACACCUGUGGCGAAGGCGGCCCCCUGGGCCGGCCCUGACGCUGAGACGCGAAAGCGCGGGGAGCGAACGGG
rnacentral:rRNA from 1 species